rfam:Pyrenophora tritici-repentis Pt-1C-BFP supercont1.1 genomic scaffold, whole genome shotgun sequence.
GGUCGCUUAGCUCAGUUGGUUAGAGCGUGGUGCUAAUACAAAUUGCCUUUGUGUGAUACGCCAAGGUCGCGAGUUCGACCCUCGUAGUGACCA